AACGCUAGCUACAGGCUUAACACAUGCAAGUCGAGGGGAAACGACAUCGAAAGCUUGCUUUUGAUGGGCGUCGACCGGCGCACGGGUGAGUAACGCGUAUCCAACCUGCCCACCACUUGGGGAUAACCUUGCGAAAGUAAGACUAAUACCCAAUGACGUCUCUAGAAGACAUCUGAAAGAGAUUAAAGAUUUAUCGGUGAUGGAUGGGGAUGCGUCUGAUUAGCUUGUUGGCGGGGUAACGGCCCACCAAGGCAACGAUCAGUAGGGGUUCUGAGAGGAAGGUCCCCCACAUUGGAACUGAGACACGGUCCAAACUCCUACGGGAGGCAGCAGUGAGGAAUAUUGGUCAAUGGACGAGAGUCUGAACCAGCCAAGUAGCGUGCAGGAUGACGGCCCUAUGGGUUGUAAACUGCUUUUAUAAGGGAAUAAAGUGAGCCUCGUGAGGCUUUUUGCAUGUACCUUAUGAAUAAGGACCGGCUAAUUCCGUGCCAGCAGCCGCGGUAAUACGGAAGGUCCGGGCGUUAUCCGGAUUUAUUGGGUUUAAAGGGAGCGUAGGCCGGAGAUUAAGCGUGUUGUGAAAUGUAGACGCUCAACGUCUGCACUGCAGCGCGAACUGGUUUCCUUGAGUACGCACAAAGUGGGCGGAAUUCGUGGUGUAGCGGUGAAAUGCUUAGAUAUCACGAAGAACUCCGAUUG
rnacentral:rRNA from 1 species